AUUGAACGCUGGCGGCAUGCUUUACACAUGCAAGUCGGACGGCAGCGGGGUAGUGCUUGCACUACUGCCGGCGAGUGGCGAACGGGUGAGUAACAUAUCGGAACGUACCGAGCAGUGGGGGAUAACUAAUCGAAAGAUUAGCUAAUACCGCAUAUCUUCUGAGGAAGAAAGCAGGGGACCUUUGGGCCUUGCGCUGUUUGAGCGGCCGAUAUCUGAUUAGCUGGUUGGUGGGGUAAAGGCCUACCAAGGCGACGAUCAGUAGCGGGUCUGAGAGGAUGAUCCGCCACACUGGGACUGAGACACGGCCCAGACUCCUACGGGAGGCAGCAGUGGGGAAUUUUGGACAAUGGGGGCAACCCUGAUCCAGCCAUGCCGCGUGUCUGAAGAAGGCUUCGGGUUGUAAAGGACUUUUGUCCGGGAAGAAAAGCGCGAUGUUAAUACCAUGCGUGCUGACGGUACGGAGAUAGC
rnacentral:rRNA from 1 species